rnacentral:rRNA from 1 species
UGGGGAAUAUUGGACAAUGGGCGCAAGCCUGAUCCAGCCAUGCCGCGUGAGUGAUGAAGGCCUUAGGGUUGUAAAGCUCUUUUAGCGGGGAAGAUAAUGACGGUACCCGCAGAAAAAGCCCCGGCUAACUUCGUGCCAGCAGCCGCGGUAAUACGAAGGGGGCUAGCGUUGCUCGGAAUUACUGGGCGUAAAGCGCACGUAGGCGGACUCUUAAGUCGGUGGUGAAAUCCUGGAGCUCAACUCCAGAACUGCCUUCGAUACUGGGAGUCUUGAGUUCGGGAGAGGUGAGUGGAACUGCGAGUGUAGAGGUGAAAUUCGUAGAUAUUCGCAAGAACACCAGUGGCGAAGGCGGCUCACUGGCCCGAUACUGACGCUGAGGUGCGAAAGCGUGGGGAGCAAACA